UUUCCGUAGGUGAACCUGCGGAAGGAUCAUCAACAAUUGUUGCAAGUCGUGUCCGGCCCAUUCUGGGUUGGGCGCGGCCAGGCCUUCUUUUGGUCUGAACGCGUCUUGAUAAAAGCUCUGCCUUUGCAUGGUGGCCGCCUUCUGGGCGCACCAGAUUCCGAAAAUGUACAACUUUUGACAACGGAUCUCUUGGCUCUC
rnacentral:misc_RNA from 1 species